CAGACACCUACGGGUGGCAGCAGUCGAGAAUUUUUCUCAAUGGGCGAAAGCCUGAAGGAGCGACGCCGCGUGGAGGAUGAAGGCUUUCGGGUUGUAAACUCCUGUCAUUUGAGAACAAGUGUAGCUAAGUAACUACUGGCUACUUGAUAGUAUCAGAAGAGGAGGGGACGGCUAACUCUGUGCCAGCAGCCGCGGUAAUACAGAGGUCCCAAGCGUUGUUCGGAUUCAUUGGGCGUAAAGGGUGCGUAGGUGGCGCCGUCAGUGGGGUGUGAAAUUUCGGAGCUUAACUCCGAAACUGCAUUCCAUACUGCGGUGCUUGAGGACUGGAGAGGAGACUGGAAUUCAUGGUGUAGCAGUGAAAUGCGUAGAGAUCAUGAGGAAGACCGGUGGCGAAGGCGGGUCUCUGGACAGUUCCUGACACUGAGGCACGAAGGCUAGGGGAGCGAACGGGAUUAGAUACCCCGGUAGUCCUAGCAAUAAACGGUGCACGUUUGGUGUGAGAGGAUUCGACCCCUUUCGCGCCGGAGCUAACGCGUUAAACGUGCCGCCUGGGGAGUACGGUCGCAAGACUAAAACUCAAAGGAAUUGACGG
rnacentral:rRNA from 1 species